UUUUGGGGCAGGAUCUGUGAUUGGUUGAUCUAGCAUCUUAACAAUGUCAUAAUGACCCAGUUUCUUUCCAUUUCUCUCCUCUGCGCUGUCCGCUGUAUCCAUUCAUCCUUAGGUGGCUCCUUUCAAGUUUACUGCAUGCAUGUUGGCAGAAAUGGGGACUGCUAGCUUACUCUUUCCUGUUAGAAAAGACAAGUGCCCCAAUUACAGAGCAAAAGCCCUGAGCUUCAAACCACAGCAUGUUGGAUUCAAGAGUCCAAAUGACUGAGACUGAAGUCAAGCACUGGGGCAAGAAGGAUAGAGCAACCUUAAAUGUCAGGCCAACCAGGGCCCACCUCCAGAGGAUCUGAGUUUGCCACACAACCUGGACACAAUUAAUACCCUUUCAUAGAGGAAAAAAGAUGUGUGGUGACGUUUAAAGUGCCCUCAGUAGUAUUUAAGUUGAAUGAUCUUCAAACCAAAUAGCUAUUUUUAUAUAUUAAAGGAUGGGAUUCCUCGACUGACAGUUAUGAUUGUAAACCUCCUGAGGGAAGAACGCUGUCUUUUUGGAUCUCUGCUUACCCUCAGUGUCUGAAGAAACGCUUGACUCAUGGUCCCUCUUGCAGGCUUCUCCUGCAUCCCGGGAGGCUCCUUGCUGUCUUUCCGCGAUACCUAAAAGCCCUGUCCUCUCCUUCCCGGGCCGUCUCCUUGGCGCCCUGCUCACCU